GACGAACGCUGGCGGCGUGCUUAACACAUGCAAGUCGAACGAUGAAGCCGGAGCUUGCUCUGGUGAAUUAGUGGCGAACGGGUGAGUAACACGUGAGUAACCUGCCCUUGACUCUGGGAUAACUGCGGGAAACUGUAGCUAAUACCGGAUACGACCCUCGGAGGCAUCUCUUGGGGGUGGAAAGAAUUUCGGUCAAGGAUGGACUCGCGGCCUAUCAGCUAGUUGGUGAGGUAAAGGCUCACCAAGGCGACGACGGGUCGCCGGCCUGAGAGGGUGACCGGCAACACUGGGACUGAGACACGGCCCAGACUCCUACGGGAGGCAGCCGUGGGGAAUAUUGCACAAUGGGCGCAAGCCUGAUGCAGCAACGCCGCGUGAGGGAUGACGGCCUUCGGGUUGUAAACCUCUUUUAGCAGGGAAGAAGCGAAAGUGACGGUACCUGCAGAAAAAGCACCGGCUAACUACGUGCCAGCAGCCGCCGUAA
rnacentral:rRNA from 1 species